rnacentral:rRNA from 1 species
UACAGAGGGGGCAAGCGUUGUUCGGAAUUAUUGGGCGUAAAGGGCGCGUAGGCGGCCUGCUAAGUCGAACGUGAAAUCCCUGGGCUCAACCCAGGAACUGCGUCCGAUACUGGUUGGCUUGAAUCCGGGAGAGGGAUGUGGAAUUCCAGGUGUAGCGGUGAAAUGCGUAGAUAUCUGGAGGAACACCGGUGGCGAAGGCGACAUCCUGGACCGGUAUUGACGCCGAUGUGCGAAAGCGUGGGGAGCAAACAGG